rnacentral:pre_miRNA from 1 species
CAUAUACUCCCUCCGUUCGAAAAUACUUGUCAUCAAAAUGAAUAAAAAGAGAUGUAUCUAGAACUAAAAUACAUCUAGAUACAUCUCCUUUUAUCCAUUUUGAUGACAAGUAUUUCCAGACGGAGGGAGUAUUAU